GAUGAAGAACGUAGCGAAAUGCGAUAAGUAAUGUGAAUUGCAGAAUUCAGUGAAUCAUCGAAUCUUUGAACGCAUCUUGCGCUCCUUGGUAUUCCGAGGAGCAUGCCUGUUUGAGUGUCAUUUAACUUCUCAACCACAUUGGAUAUUUUUUUUCCGAUGCCGGCUUGGAUGUGGGGGUUGUUUGCAGGCUUUUUGUAACAAAAAAGGUCGGCUCCCCUGAAAUGUAUUAGUGGUAUCUGAGGCUAUUACUAUUAGGUGUGAUAAUUAUCUAUGCCUUUUGGGUAUGCCGCAUGAACAGAUUAUGCUGCUUCUAACGAAAACUAUUUUGAUGAAUUUGACCUCAAAUCAGGUAGGACUACUCGCUGAACUUAAGCAUAUCAAUAAGCGGAGGA
rnacentral:misc_RNA from 1 species